rnacentral:rRNA from 1 species
GCAUAUCAAUAAGCGGAGGAAARGAAACCAACAGGGAUUGCCCUAGUAACGGCGAGUGAAGCGGCAACAGCUCAAAUUUGAAAUCUGGCCCUCGGGUCCGAGUUGUAAUUUGUAGAGGAUGCUUUUGGUGAGNUACCUUCCGAGUUCCCUGGAACGGGACGCCAUAGAGGGUGAGAGCCCCGUCUGGUUGGAUACCAAACCUCUGUAAAGCUCCUUCGACGAGUCGAGUAGUUUGGGAAUGCUGCUCUAAAUGGGAGGUAUAUGUCUUCUAAAGCUAAAUACCGGCCAGAGACCGAUAGCGCACAAGUAGAGUGAUCGAAAGAUGAAAAGCACUUUGAAAAGAGAGUUAAAAAGUACGUGAAAUUGUUGAAAGGGAAGCGCUUAUGACCAGACUUGGACUUGGUUGAUCAUCCUGGGUUCUCCCUGGUGCACUCUUCCAGUUCAGGCCAGCAUCAGUUCGCUGCGGGGGAUAAAAGUUUUGGGAAUGUGGCUCCCUCGGGAGUGUUAUAGCCCAUUUCAUAAUACCCUGCUCCGGACUGAGGUUCGCGCAUCUGCAAGGAUGCUGGCGUAAUGGUCAUCAGCGACCCGUCUUGAAACACGGACCAAGGAGUCGUCUUCGUAUGCGAGUGUUCGGGUGUUAAACCCCUACGCGUAAUGAAAGUGAACGCAGGUGAGAGCUUCGGCGCAUCAUCGACCGAUCCUGAUGUUCUCGGAUGGAUUUGAGUAAGAGCAUACGGGGCCGGACCCGAAAGAAGGUGAACUAUGCCUGUAUAGGGUGAAGCCAGAGGAAACUCUGGUGGAGGCUCRCAGCGGUUCUGACGUGCAAAUCGAUCGUCAAAUAUGGGCAUGGGGGCGAAAGACUAAUCGAACCUUCUAGUAGCUGGUUUCCGCCGAAGUU